rnacentral:rRNA from 1 species
CAGAGACUGCAAGCGUUAUUCGGAUUCACUGGGCGUAAAGGGUGCGCAGGCGGCCGUGUGUGUUAGGUGUGAAAGCCCGAGGCUUAACCUCGGAAUUGCGCCCAAAACUACACGGCUAGAGCAUUGGAGAGGGUAGCAGAAUUCAUGGUGUAGCAGUGAAAUGCGUAGAUAUCAUGAGGAAUACCAGAGGCGAAGGCGGCUACCUGGACAAUUGCUGACGCUCAGGCACGAAAGCGUGGGGAGCAAAAGGGAUUAGAUACCCCUGUAGUCCACGCCCUAAACGGUGCACACUAGGUCUUAGCGGAUUCGAUCCCGCUAGGGCCCAAGCUAACGCGUUAAGUGUGCCGCCUGAGGACUACGGUCGCAAGACUA